rnacentral:sRNA from 1 species
CAACGGCUGCGAUUCA